AUUUUUGCAGGAAGAAUGCAAGACAUGCUUUGCUGCAAACUUCAACCUACAGCAUGCAAUAUCUGUACUGGUGCAGACCUACUGGAUCUAUUUAACUGGAACAUACAUGCCAAGGAAAGUGGGAGAGCUGAGAGCACAUCUCACCAGCAGGCCACGUGCUGACAGAUGGCGUACAGACCUCAGCAGAUGUCCAUAGCACCGGCUUGGAUCUCUUGUGAAAGCACCUCCAGUUGCACGAGGACUGGUGGUGAGUUCAAGUGCAAGCCGGAGCACACCAGAAAGGGCACCAGGCUGCGGCUGUUCCAAUGCUCCCAACAAGAAGCACCACCUCCCUUUGACAGCCACUAGAACCAUGCACAGAGCUACAAGGACCGCACACUCGUUUUUGCACCGAUGAAGCGUUCGGCAAAAACCUCCUCAAGUAACACUUCCUCUAGAUGUAAGCAUCUCUGAAGUACAAAGUCAUUCCCUCAGCCAUCACUGAAGAGCAGAUGGACAGAAAAAAGCACGUGCAAUAGAGAUGGUGACUGCUAAGGGGUCCGGAUCACGGCCGUGGUGCUGACAGACGAGAGGGGACAAGAAGAUGAUUCCACCUCUGAGCUCAACACCGGAGAGCUACGUCACGUCCCGCCCCGCACAGCCCCGUCAGACCAAGCCUCUGCCCUCUGAGCAGCGUGAUGUACUCGGGCACCACAAGGAGGUUGCAUCAUUACGUGCUGAAGCAAUGUGGAAAGCAACAGCCCCAGAAGCGAGCAGCAGCUUCUCUCCCCACGCGCCCUCCCGAGUCUCGUAUGGGGGUGUGUCAGCAGAUGAAUCAGGCCUACUUACAAAGAAUUACAGCAAACAAUGGCUUCAUGGGUAAAGCGUAACACAAAGCUGCUUCGUCAAACUGACUCCAUAAUGCCCAGCCAGGGAAAUGUUUAAUGAAUCUGUGAGUUUUACAGCAGUAAGUUCUGGCAAUGCUGAAGAUCGCUGUAAGGCACGGGGUGCAGGAGCCAGGGAAGUCUUUUCUGGCAAGUUACCUGUUGCUCUGAGAGCUGAAAUAGCCUGUGGGACAUUUAAGAAAAGGGAGCUCUUGCCUUUUUCCAGAUAUCUCAUUUGGGUUGCAAGACAAAAAAGACAGAAAGGCCCAAUAAGAAUGACACCCCAGAGUGCGCGGUCUGCAAUUUAACACACACAUUUGAGCUCCAAACACAUUCAGCCCCUGCAAGAGGGAAAUGAAAAAAGAAAUUACUUUGGAAACGUCUCUCUUAGGUACCGCAUAGCACCUGCACAGCUGUAUAGCAGAGUGCUGCAUAGCCCAGUGUAUUUUCU
rnacentral:lncRNA from 1 species